rnacentral:rRNA from 1 species
GACGAACGCUGGCGGCGUGCUUAACACAUGCAAGUCGAACGGAAAGGCCCUGCUUUUGUGGGGUGCUCGAGUGGCGAACGGGUGAGUAACACGUGAGUAACCUGCCCUUGACUUUGGGAUAACUUCAGGAAACUGGGGCUAAUACCGGAUAGGAGCUCCUGCUGCAUGGUGGGGGAUGGACUGUUUCGGCGGUUGGGGCUGGAGGCGCGGAUUAUCAGCUUGUUGGUGGGGUAGUGGCUUACCAAGGCUUUGACGGGUAGCCGGCCUGAGAGGGUGACCGGCCACAUUGGGACUGAGAGACGGCCCAGACUCCUACGGGAGGCAGCAGUGGGGAAUAUUGCACAAUGGGCGGAAGCCUGAUGCAGCAACGCCGCGUGCGGGAUGACGGCCUUCGGGUUGUAAACCGCUUUCGCCUGUGACGAAGCGUGAGUGACGGUAAUGGGUAAAGAAGCACCGGCUAACUACGUG